rnacentral:misc_RNA from 1 species
AAUGUUUAACUUGUUAAAC